CAGCUGUACUACAUGAAUUGGCUGGGAGGUGGAUGUUUACUUCAACUGACUUGGAAUAUCAGCCGUUAACCUAGAGUAGAGGAUUUGGCAAGAAUAGUAUGCAGAGGCUUGAUUUUUAAUGUAAUUACUGUAAAUUUAAAUUACUGUCAUAUCUUUUCACUUGUUUUAUUGUAUCUCUAACAUGGCAUGAGACUCUGAGUAUUGGGACAAAAGAAUGUCCUUUGUUGAGUGGGGUCAGAUUCGUAGGCAUUGCAGUGUGCUUUGACGUCAUACAUUUGUACCUGUCUGGGCUCUACCAGUGAAUUCACUAUGUGAUUUGGAGGAGGGAAAGCCACUGUUUCACACCUCGGUGCUUUUCUCAUCUGCAAAAUAGGUAUGGUAUGCACUUGACAGGAUUGUUGUAAUGAUUGACCUAGACGAUGAAUGUAAAGUGGGUCAUUAGUCAGUGCUUGUCACAUUGAGUACUCAGUAAAUGCUGAAACACUAACUGUUAUUAAUGCUCGCCACAAUGCCUCAUCAUAGUAUGUAGCAUAUUUUAGGUGUUCAAUAAAUAACUGCUGUGACUUUUAAACUGGACAUAAGUUGUUUUUAUUUUAGCCACCAAUUUUCUGGCUUAAUGGAAAUGGUUUGAAUCUUUGAUAUCACUGUAAUUCAGUGGCAAAGAAUUUUGAAGCCCAGCUUCUUGAACUCACGUCCUUACCAAGCCACUUACUAGCUUCGUUACUUUAGGGAAGUUAUUACACUCCCAGUGCCUUAGUUUCCUCAGUCUUCUAAACUGGGAUAUAACAGUACCUACCUAAUAAGAUUGUUAGGAGAUAAAAUGAGCCAAUACCAGUCAAGUAUUGGAACAGUUCCUGGUACACACUAAGCUCUUGAUAAAUGGCAGCUAUUGUUGUUAUUAUUUUAAAAACAUGUUCGUCACGUGUUAUUUUUUCCCAGGGUAUAGUUGUGCCAUACAUUUCAAAAUAAAGAGAAGCUCACACUUGAUAAUUAGUUCUAGAUAUGUACUGUUUGGUUUAAAUGAUGCUUUCAUAUUUCAUGCUUUUAUUGAGAAUACUCUACUUAAAAUUAAUUUUCUGUCACUUUGUUUUUCAAGUCCAUGAGAUCAACUUUAAGUUUUCAUUUUUUUGGUGACACGUUCGCGUUCUGUAUAGGUGAAAAACAGAACCACCACCACAAAACCAAAAUUACUUAAGAAGUACACUUUAUUCUAGCAGCUUGGCAAGUGUCCCUAAACUCGUCUAUGCCUGAAUCCAGAAGUAGAAUUCACAUUCGAUGCGUCUCCUAUGGAAGAUGUCUACGUGUUAUGAGAAAUUCACGAUUAAAUAAAAAUGUGUAAUAAAGGCCUGGAGACUUGUUCUUAAAAAAGGUGCUGUCUUUCUAGUUGUAUUUUGUUUGAUCAAUAAAGUAAUUUUUGUUUUUUUGUAAUUAUAAUUUUUAUGGAUUAGCUUUUCAUUAUUUGUUAAGUGGAGCUGUUCUAUUGGAUGCAAAAUGUAUAUUUCAGUUCCACAUAUUCAUUUGAAACUGGUCAAAUGCUUAAAUUAUUUUAUAAUUUAUAAUACUUCAAGAAAAAUAUUGCAAUGUAUUAUAGAACUGUCAUUAUUUAGAGGUAGUUUUAUGAAAUGUAUUUGUCAAAUUAACAUAUUUGGAAGUUUCCCAUCAAUUUACCUUUGAACCUCAGUGAAUAAAAUACAGAAUUUUUCUUUUAUAUUCUCCAGUAUGAAAAAAAUAGCAUAUCCUUUGGUGUAAGCUACCAAAUGGCCUAUGGGUUAAAUUCCUAAUAUUCCUAAUUCUAGUGGUCUUUUUUUUUUUUUUUUCGUGAGAAAGAUUGGCCCGGAGCUACGAUCUGUUCCCAGUCUUCUGCUGUUUCCUUCAAGAAGAUUGUCACUGAGCUAACAUCUGUGCCAGUCUUCCUCUACUUUGAAUGUGGAACCCCACCGUAGCAUGGCUUGAUGAGCCAUGUGUAGGCGGCCCAGUGUUUCGUUAGUUCGAAUCCUGGGCGCGGACAUGGCACUGCUCAUCAAACCACGCUGAGGCAGCGUCCCACAUGCCACAACUAGAAGGACCCACAACAAAGAAUACACAACUAUGUACCGGGGGGCUUUGGGGAGAAAAAGGAAAAAAUAAAAUCUUUAAAAAAAAAAAAAACUGUGCAUUUAUUAGAAAUGUAAAAGAAAUAUUUUUCUGAUGAACAUGUGCUUGUCAGUUUAAAAUGUUAUGGAAUCUGAGUAAAUGUUAGAAGUCCCCGUUUCUCCCCCUUGUUUACUCACUGCCAUUUCUUAUUUAAUUGAUUGUAGAGAACGUAAUAAAAAGUUGGAUUUCUUCAGUAGUAUUUGAAUACGUUCUGAAAUUCAACUCCAACUAUCUUCUGUCAAGUUUGAAGAUUUGAUCUCUCUCCUCAUAAUUAUUUGCUAAGCAUUUGGCAUAAAUUAUUUAACUUCUCUCUGUUUCAUUUUAUCUUUCUCAUUUCAUUGAUUCAGAAUAGUAGAGUUUUAUGGUGCCAAACAAAUGUCUCCUGUACACUUUAGUAAUUGAAAAUUGUUGGUUAAAGUGGGGAAUCUGUGAUAUACGAGAGUUUUACCUUUUAGAUCUAUUCAUUUCAGUUUUUUAAAAAAGUGAUUCUACUUUUUGAUAAAGGUUAAAGUGUUAUUCAGUGCCAAAUGUUAUGCAAAAUUAUAGUAAGUGACUAUUUGAUCUCUUUUCAUUGUUAAUGGCUUAAUAUUGAGAUUUUUCUUAAAACUAGAAAUAUGCUAGCAUCAAAAUCUGGAUUCAAGUGAAAGGUGGUUUUCUUUAACUUUUAGUUCUUCACAAAGCUACCAGUACAGUAUGAAACCAACAGCAGUUUCACAUGUAGGAUUUUUAUAUGUAUAUAAAUUAGAAUUACUUUUUAAUAUCGGCCUUAGCUUCCUUAAUGUUAUGAAAAGAACCAGUCCCGAGGGUGUUUUUAUAAUGUAAUACACGCUAUUCCUGUGAGGCUGAGCAGAGCUGCUGCAGGAAUCCGAACCCUGGCCGCAGAAGCUGCCCAGCUGCUCAGCUGCUGUCCUGGGACUGACCGGAUGCACUCACAGCUAGUUCACAAGCUCAGACCUUCCCUAGCUUAUUUCACAGUGAGUCUUUAAGGACCAUUGAACUAUGUGUUCAGUAUUUGUCCUACUGUCUAAAAAUAUUGAAAAACAGGGUUUGCACUGUUUGUUUUGUUUUUUAAAAGUGGUGUGAGAACUCCCCUUUGCUGCUUGUUCUUCGUGCACAUUCUAUAAGAGCUCAAAGUCCCCAGGAAAAAAAGGAUUUUUGUAAAGUUUCUUUGAUUGAAAAAGUCUGACACGUCCUUGAAGGUAUACAGUUGCCUUAAUUUUGACAUUAUAAGUUAUCUGUGAAAAUUACUGUUUUGGGUAUCGUAUUUAUAUUUAACAAUCACUUGCUUAAAAUUAUCUCCUGUAUGUAGUCAGUAGCCCCUAAAGAUUCCGUAUUAACCAGAAUGCUGCGUUACUUUCGAGUAAAGAUAUGAGUAUGAAUGAGAAACAGCUGGGGGACUGGGUAUUAGCAAAUCCUUCAUUUUCAGCCAACUUUCUAAAUCUUUGGUCAUUCACUCCGUAAUAUUUAGAGUAAAAUGUGCAAGUGCCUCUUUGUUCUCUUCACAUUCACAUGCCACAGCCUUUCUUUCUGUUACACUCGAAAUUGUUAAUGGUGUUGAUCCUUCCAAACUCUUGUGUUUUUACACACAUAUACUCUGCUAAUAUGGGUGGGAUUUUUAAUAUCAUGAGAUCAUACUAUAUCUCUCUUGUCCUUUUCUUCAUUGCGUUUUGGGGAACUUGCCGUAUCUGUACACCACAUAUUUUUUUAAUUCCAUAUAUAAAUGUACCAUAUGGUAUUUACUUCUCUAUUAGUAGAUCUUUAGGUUGCUCCAAUAUUUUACUAUUAUAGGCAGUCCUGCAAAAUACAAAUAUUUUGAUGCAUAGAUGUAACUAAUUGUACAAGACAGUGUGUAAAGGUGUAAUUGCUGUGUCAAGGAACACGUCUAUUUAAAAUACUUAUAGAUACUGCUAAGUUAAUCUCCAGAGAGUCUGCCAGUUUACAUUUUCUUUAACAGUGUGAGAGAGCACCUGUUUCCUCACAUCUUUGCCAGGGCGUUAUCCAUCUUGUUCAUUUUUGCUGAUCUAAUGGUUGCAAAGUAGUAUCUCUUUUUUAAUUGCAUUUCCUUGUCUAAAGGAGAAGUUGUCUUUUUAUAUCUUUCUUGGCUUUUUUCUUUCAUUUUUAUUUUUUUUGAUUGCAUAUUCAAAUUCUUUGCCCAUAUUUCUUUUGUUAAUUUGUUCUUAUUGCUUUCUAGGAACUCUAUAUACUUUGGACAUUUUUUCUUUCUAUGUUAUAUGUGUUGCAAAUAUUUCCUUCUCAGAUUUUUUUUAGUCUUUUUUUUUGAGGAUUAGCCCUGAGCUGACAUCUGCCACCAAUCCUCCUCUUUUUUGCUGAGGAAGACUGGCCCUGAGCUAACAUCUGUGCCCAUCUUCCUUUACUUUAUAUGUGGGACACCUGUCAUGGCAUGACCUGACAAGCAGUGCGUAGGUCCACACCUGGGAUCCAGACCAGCGAACUCCGGGCCACCAAAGUGGAACGUGCAAACUUAACCGCUGUGCCACCGGGCCAGCCCCCGUCAUGUGUUUUUUAACUAUUUAAAACUGUUAUGUAAUCUUCUGUGGCUUCUGGGUCUUGUUGUCUUUCUUAGGAAGGCCCCUUCCACAAACCUCAAUAUUAUACAUUAUGCUAAAUAUAUUAUCUUUUCAUCUUUUAAAACUAUUUCAUCAAAACUAAGAAAUGCCAUUGAUUAUAUGACACCAGGAUUUGAUAUACUGAGAAAGAAGAAAAACAAAUCUUGAGAAACGGAUAGAGUGCUUUUUUUCUCAUCAUUUCAAAUUUAUUUUAUAGCUACUUAAAGAUCUCUUUUAGACAUUUAUUCAGACCAGUUUUUUUAAAUUGUAAAACUUAUAUAAAAAGGGAAAAUCUGUUCUGUCAAUUCUUCAUCUUUGCAUUAACAAUCCUUAGUCUUUGGGUGGUGGACACCCUGAAUUUGUUCCUCUGAAUUUGUCACUCAUUUAAACACAUCUUUAUUACUCUCCAAGUAUUCAUAAAUACCGCAGUGUAUAUGAAACACCUGUUAUGGCACAGAUACUUAUCUAGGUACUUUCAUAUAUGUUCUCAUCUAACCCUAGCAGCAACUCUACAGUUGAGGAAACUGGGACUCAGAAAAGUUUCAAGUUGCUUGUAAUCACAGAGCAGUUAAAGUGAUGGAGAUCCCUCGCUUCAGAGGUAGUAUCAAUCUAGAGUGGAACAUCUCUAAUUUUUUACAAGCGUGUGAUUCCGAUUUUCAUACCUUUUCAGAACCAGUGUAUGCUGUGCUGCCAAAUAAAAGUUCACUUUUGUCCUUAUCUUACUGAUAAGUUUGCAGAUAUUUUUUACCCUCUGUCAAUUGUCAUAUUGUUAUAGUUCUAGAGUCAGUAGGAUUUAUAAUUGGAUCUUCACUUUAAAGUGGGAAAUAAAUGCAGUGAUACCAAGAAAAUUCCCUAACUGUUCUUUCCAUUUAUAUGUUAAGCCUAAACCAGAACAAGAGAUUAUAGUUGCACACUACCUAGAGCAAAGUUCUCGACGUUAGAAUCCUCGUCCGUCUUAAUAGUUGUCCACCUUCAACCUGUAGAGGAAAGUGUGUUUUCAAAACUGCGUAAACGAUAAGAAUGAUAGAGUUUUUAUUAUGACCCUAAGGAAGUCAUUCAGACUUUUUUAUUUUCUCACACGCAUUCAGACUCUUAGCUUCAAACUGAAUAUUGUACUGUUUGCUUAUGUAUUAAAAAAUGAUUGAACAUAUCUCGAGCAACUCGGACAAGACAGAGAAGACUCCACAGGGUUGACAUUAGAGAAAGCUAUUCAGAGUAGGAAACUUAAUGUGGCCGUGCCAUACGGGGAUGUUGUAACCCUAAGAGUUAGAGGAGUACUCUGGGUAGGCCAGAGCACAAGUCUUUUCUAAAGUUGUGUUGGCUGUCCUGGGGUUUGAAUUCAUGCCUUGUAUUUCUUUCUAUGUGUGACAAGUUCAGUAUGUAAGAAGCAGUGUUCAUAAGAGUUGGCAAACCUGUUUUACUUGUUUCUCAAGCUUUUCAGAUCAUUGCUUAUAAACCAGAUAUUUAUAGUAAAUAUCUUGUUUGAAAUGUAGACUAACCCUAUUAAAUAGUGUGUCCUUGUGCUGUGCUCAUUUAAUGAGUUCACCCUCUGGUGCGUUGGCAUGUGAUUUGAAGUAGCUCUCAGUGCCACUGGAGUGUUUGAAGGAGUUAAAGGGAAAAGCAGGAAGAGAAUAACAUUUUUGGGGAAAAGUGAUCAUACAACAGAUAGGCCCUUGGGAGAAUAAAGGAUGUAGUCUAUUAUGUGACCUUUGGCUAAUUCCUGAAGCAUGCUGACCUCAUAUUCCUUGUAUGUAAAUGACAACAUUAUAGCGUUAAAAGUCUCUUUACCUCCGCGAGUCCAUCCAGCGAUCUCUUCUUGUGUGUUUGUGUGUGUCAGUCGAGCACAAUAUUUAGCAAAGUGUGUUCUAGGUUAAACCACCUGGACUUGUCUGUAAAAUGGGGUUUCCCGUCUCCUAAAUUGUAAUGAGAAUUUAAUUAGGUAACACAGAUAAAUUACUUAGCACACUGCCUGGCACAUACCAAGCACUCCGGAAAUAUCCCCAUUCUUCAAAGCUCAGCUCAGAUGUCAGGUCAGUAGUGUCUGGAUCCUGGACCUUCUGGGUAAAACUGGCCUCUUCUUUGUGCCAUGAACAUGCCUUGUACUCACUUCUAAUUUAGCACUGUCACUUGUGCUAAAUUUAUCACUAACUUAUCUACACGUCUGCUUCCCCUCUUACAUUUUGAGCCGCUUGGGGACAGAGACAGGUUUAUUCAUCUUCUUAAAUUCAGUGUUAGGCGUGUUAAAUUUUUGUUGAAUAAACUUGUAUUCUUGUUUUUAAAUAGGAUCCCCUCCCCCGCUCAAUGGAAGAUAAUCCUAGAGCAAACGUGACAAGUAGGAAUGUUCUCAAACCACUUUUUUUUUUUUGACAGCUGUGCAAUUGCCAUUGUACUCCUAAGGAUUAGAUCAUUUUUUACUUUACUUCUUCACAGUGUUUUUCUUUUAAUAAGAAAAUUAAGAAAGUGACUGCCAGUUGGAGAAAAUGGUCCUAUAAAUAUAAAUGAAAGUGCACUGAUGAGAAAUUUUAUAAAGCCAUCAUAAUGGCGCUAUAAAAAUGUUGAUCUUGGAACCAAAGCCCUGGGUUCGUGUCAUAGCACUGCUACUUUCUGGCCAUAUGACAAUGAUCGAACUGUUUUGUCCCUCCGACUCUACAAAGUGGGCAUGACAUCCAUUUCAUGUUACAUGUUGUAACAGUAAGGAAAAAUAGGCUGUUUGGGGAAGGGUUGGAGAGUGCUGUGAGGGUGCUCUGGAUAGACCAGAGCACAAGUCUUCCCUAAAGUUGUGACAGUGAUUGAUGUGAGAGAUUCCUAAAGUACUAGCACGGUGCCUGCUUAACGGAAGACACACAACUCAUCUUUAAUGGAGUUAGUAUCAGGUGAUAAUAUACCCUUUAAAAUUGAGAAAAGCCAACUUAUUUUACCAUACACACACUUGUUUACUGUUAGAAAUAUUGUUGUUUAAAUUAGUUGUACCCUUGCUUAGGUGUUGAAAACAGAACUAAAAUGUUAAAUGAUGACCACCUGAUUUUACUUCCAUCAUGCUAAUGUUGUAGGGAAGAGUAAACAGAGAUCAAAUGGCAAAAGCAUACUCAAGAAUUAAGUUGCGUAAUUAAAGGUUUACUAUUUUCUUAACACAAGAAGGCAGGUCUCUACUUCAUCCUACUUUCCUGUAGUCAAUCACUGAUAGGGGCUGGCCCUGUGGCCGAGUGGUUAAGUUCACACGCCCUGCUUUGGUGGCCUGGGGUUUGCCAGUUCAGAUCCUGGGCAUGGACCUAGCACCCCUCAUCAAGCCAUGCUGUGGUGGCAUCCCACACAGAAGAACUACAAGGACUUACAACUAGAAUACACAAGUAUGUACUGGGGCUUUGGGGAGAAGAAAAAUCACUGAUAACUGGAGAUACGGACUGAAAACAUUGGAGCCAUCUAGGUCUUCAUUGAUUGCAUUCUUUUAUGAAAGGUGGAAGUGUAGAGAGAAUUAGUCUCAAUAUAGUCAUACGCCAUCUAACAACGUUUCAGUCAAUGACAAACUGUGUAUAGGAUGGUGGUCCCAUAAGAUUAGUACCAUAAUAGCCUAGGUGCAUAGUAGGUUAUACCAUCUAGGUUUGUGUAAGUGCACUCUAUGACAUUUACCCAACAACAAAAUCGCCUAAUGACAUAUUUCUCAGAACGUAUCCCUGUCAUUAAGCAACAUAUGACUGUACUGCUAAUACAAAU
ensembl:lncRNA